CAUUCAUUCAUUCCUCCUCACCACUAUGAGCUGAAUAAAGAGCAUGAAAUCACUUUGCGACUCUGAGUAUAUUUCAAGAAUCCAUUGUGAUCCAGGCGUUGUCACGGUGACACCUCCUCCAACUGCCUCUUGUGUCAGUUGGUCCUUGCCCUAGUGAGAGGCUCUUGUUUCUCUCUGUCUUUCUCUCAAACCAAGUGGAGGAAAAAUGUACCGUAAGUAGGAUCUCUUCACAGCUUCUGCACUCUUGUGCUUAUAAUGAUCCGUUGAAAUCUUAGGCCUUUGCUCCCCAAACAAGGCUGUUAUAUAUAUAUUUAAAAAUCAAGAAUAAGUUACAUGCUUCAGCCAGUCCAUCUGGACAUCUUCAUGACUCCACCCCCUGAUUUAUAAUAGAGAAGCGACUGGAUUCUGCUUAAGCUUUAGGGAAAGGAAAACAGAUAAGAUAGAACAGCUUGCAAAUGGGCUUUUGGGCUAGUGGCAUAAGAGUCACUUGAUAACUCUCCAUAGGCCUCUGGAGAGGAUAAUAUAUCACAUUAUCCUCUUGUCGUGCGACCAUUAUUAUGAAACUGUGAAGAGUGGGCAGUAGCUGAAGAGGUAACCAUGUUGGAAGGGACAGUCUAGUCAUACUCUCUGUUCAUUGCAGGAUCUGUAAUGCAGGAUGCAUCUCUGGGAUCCAUGACAGAGCCACCUACUACCCUCCGAUUAAAUACCUGCUGCAAAGGAGAACUCACCGCCUCCCAAGGGAUGCUCUUCCACUAUGAAACUCUUAGGAGGUUUGGCCAAUAGCCAACCAAGCAACAGUUGGUUUAAGUCCCACCUUCUGGAAUAACAGACCUUCAGGUAUUUGAUUACUCCCCUUAAAACACCCCUUCUCCAAGCAAACUCACAUCUUUCAAUGAGAUGAUGAGAGAUGUCUGUUAAUAUCCAGAGGGUGCCACCCUGGCUGCAAUAUCCAGGCACUCUCUUCACAAGAUACACAUUAUGUUGUACCCAGAAUGGUGAAUUCAUCUUGAGCUUUGAGCAGUGAAUGGCCCCAGACCAAUCUAAGUGAGGUAGAUCAGGAGAGAACUACCUGUGAGCCCCAUUUCUCAUAUUUUUUUCUUUCUUUUCUAGGCUUUUGAGACUUAGGAAGGUUUUGUCCCGCUUAGGGAGAAGGAACAAGUUCUCACCUCUCCCAGAGACCUCCCCCUCUACCUCUGGGGGAUUCAAAAUAUCUUUGCCCACUAAGUACAGAACUCUUAAUCAUGCAUAUUUUUCCCAUUCUUUUCUAGGCUUGCAAGACUUAAGAAGGUUUUGUCCCGCUUAGGGAGAAGGAACAAGUUCUCACCUCUCCCAGAGACCUCCCCCUCCGCCUCUGGGGGAUUCAAAAUAUCUUUGCCCACUAAGUACAGAACUCUUCAGCAUGCAGAUAUUGCUUCCAUAGUCAUACUAGUCCUUAGGGUACUUGGGAAAGGUAUCUCUGCAACUGUCUGAGGCCUAUUUUGAGCUUCAAGCAAUAUAAAUAUAUCUUUGGCAACCAUGGAUGCAUGGGGGACCUUUUCCUUCUGAACCCCCCACUCCAGCCGUAUUUCUACCAGCAGACAGGUUGCUGUCAGUGUCAGUAAAAGAGGGCAAGCCCAGAAACUUCUUGUUGGGCAGAGAAAACAGGAAAAAAAAACAUUUACCACGCUGAGCUCAUUGCAGAAGGGUAGGAUAGAAAGAACAACGAUGCACAUAACAUCUUUCUUCAAACCAUUUCCGAAGUGGUACGAAGCAGUUAGCCUUCUCUUCUCUUCCAUUUAAAUGACAUUGAUUGAAGAUCUUGAGGUCAAGGAGUAACCAUGGAGGUCCUUCCUCAGCAGAUGUCUACUAUCUGCAACAUCUCAGCCUCUUGCUUACCUGCCGCAUGAGGUCUCUUUCCACAUAAUCAGAGGUGCCACUGUUAGCGACUUGCCCUGGUCAGCUGUUAUCCGUUGCCUGUCUAUCAAUGCCGUCUGGUACCGGUGCAGUGACCAGGACAAGGUGCCAAGGUGCCCAGCUGCGAAGAAUGGCAAUCUCUAGAAAUUUCCACACUUCCCGCAGCUCUUUCUGGAAUUUUAAUGUUCAAACUCUUUGCCAAUGGCGAAAAUGCCUAUUUCCAAUCUUCCUUUGAGACACCAAAAAGCCGAAGAAAGAAGGAUCCAUACACCCGGCAUCUCUAGGGAAACAGAUAUACGGGACUACAGGUACAAUUCAAAUGGGACAAAUGUAUGGAUAUUCCGCAAAAGAGGAAGGGUAUCUUUUUAUAUGCGAUGGCGGCAGCAAGAGUUCUGAUGGCAGCAAAAUGGAAGAGUAAUGAAAUCCCCUCUAUACAAGAUUGGAUCCAAAAGCUGACAGAAUAUGCCAAAUUAGAUGGUCUACCAGAAAAAAUAAAGAAUAAAUCAAAACAGGAAUUUGUUUCAAAAUGGGAGGUUUUCAAAAAAAUAUCUGGAAAAUAAAUAUAGUAGUUUAAAUUCUGUUGCAGCAUUCGAGGAACUUCAGUAAUAGCUGCAAGGUAGAUAUAAGAAAUUAUAUUAAGAAAAAGUUUAAUUAUGAUAAAAGUGUGUAUUGGCAAUAAGUAAUAUGAAAUCGAAAUAUGGAAUAGACGGGAGGUUGGGUCUUUAGUGUUAAGACCAAUAUAUGUUUUAUUGUUUGCUAAGAAAAUUAUGUGUCUAUGGUUAUUCCUGUGUGUAAUUUGGUAUUUGUGUUUUUUUCUUUUUUUCUUGCUGUAUCAAUAAAAAUCUUCAAACAAAUAAAAUAAAAU